GAUGAAGAACGUAGCGAAAUGCGAUAAGUAGUGUGAAUUGCAGAAUUCCGUGAAUCAUCGAAUCUUUGAACGCACAUUGCGCCUUCUGGUAUUCCGGAAGGCAUGCCUGUUCGAGAGUCAUUAACAACCGUUUCGAUCCCUUUCUUUCAGAAAUUACAAAGAGGAAAAGGGUUUGGUUAUGGUGGAGGAGGGAAAGGGAGCGUUUAGCCUGUAAAAAAAGAGGCUGUGUUCCGCCUCCCCCCCAAAAUUGUACAGGCGGUCGUGUGCGCCCACGCAUCGAGGUGUUGUAAAAGCUGCCACGGCACUUUUCACCUGUGCAGUGCGAGAUAGGCCAGCCGGUUUAAAAACCCCUCCAAACAAUCAAAGGUUGACCUCGGAUCAGGUAGGGAUACCCGCUGAACUUAAGCAUAUCAAUAAGCGGAGGA
rnacentral:misc_RNA from 1 species